UAUGGUUGUAAUGAAGAAUCAUGAGUUGUGUCAAAAGCCUUGCGAAGAAUAUAUUUUUCUUUACGACCGUUAAUAUACAUUUUCUCCUCAGGAUCAAUGUUAAGAGCAACUUCCAAAAAGUCCUUAUCCAAGAAAGGAACACGAGCCUCAAGACCCCAAGCCAUAGUUGACUUGUUAGCACGCAAGCAAUCGGAUAAGUGCAAGUUCUUAACACGACGCACACACUCGGAAUGGAAGGCCUCACGAGAGGGGGCAUUACCGAAAUAUAAAUAACCACCAAAGAUUUCGUCAGAUCCCUCACCAGACAAAACCAUUUUAACACCUUGAGCCUUGAUUUUACGAGAUAGUAGAUACAUGGGGGUACUUGCACGGAUAGUGGUA